GGUGACCUGCGGAAGGAUCAUUACUGAAAUGUAAUAACUUCUAUUGAAAGGUUCCAGAGUAGGCGCUACAACGCCGAAAUGACCUUCUCACCCUUGUGUACUCACUAUGUUGCUUUGGCGGGUCGACCUGGUUCCGACCCAGGCGGCCGGCGCCCCCAGCCUUAACUGGCCAGGACGCCCGGCUAAGUGCCCGCCAGUAUACAAAACUCAAGAAUUCAUUUUGUGAAGUCCUGAUAUAUCAUUUAAUUGAUUAAAACUUUCAACAACGGAUCUCUUGGUUCUGGCAUCGAUGAAGAACGCAGCGAAAUGCGAUAAGUAAUGUGAAUUGCAGAAUUCAGUGAAUCAUCGAAUCUUUGAACGCACAUUGCGCCCUCUGGUAUUCCGGAGGGCAUGCCUGUUCGAGCGUCAUUUCAACCCUCAAGCUCUGCUUGGUAUUGGGCAACGUCCGCUGCCGGACGUGCCUUGAAGACCUCGGCGACGGCGUCCUAGCCUCGAGCGUAGUAGUAAAAUAUCUCGCUUUGGAGUGCUGGGCGACGGCCGCCGGACAAUCGACCUUCGGUCUAUUUUUCCAAGGUUGACCUCGGAUCAGGUAGGGAUACCCGCUGAACUUAAGCAUAUCAAUAAGCGGAGGAAA
rnacentral:rRNA from 1 species